UGUUAUUCCUUUCUCAAUACAAACCCUUGAAUUCAUCAUCUCAUCAAUCAAUCUCAUAAUCAAUGGUCACCAGAAUCAUCUCAUCAUAAUGUUUUUGAAAUGACCUCCAAAAGAGAUGAACUGGUCCAGGCAAUCACUCAUGCAAAGGAAUCAUGCGACAUUGUUGUUCGGGUUAUUCACUUAUGAACAGCUUCACCCAUGGAACUUUCAAGGAGGACGUUUGACUCCCACCCAAGAUCAAAGAGCUCUUGAAAAUAACCCAAAAUAUUACAUGAUUUUGUAUAGAGUCAUACCUCAAGUCUUUAAUAUUGUUGCAGUAGAUGUUCCAAGGAUACUGGUCAUUAUUACAAG